rnacentral:rRNA from 1 species
GCGCUAUCAGAUGAGCCUAGGUCGGAUUAGCUAGUUGGUGGGGUAAUGGCUCACCAAGGCGACGAUCCGUAACUGGUCUGAGAGGAUGAUCAGUCACACUGGAACUGAGACACGGUCCAGACUCCUACGGGAGGCAGCAGUGGGGAAUAUUGGACAAUGGGCGAAAGCCUGAUCCAAACGUGCCGCGUGUGUGAAGAAGGUCUUCGGAUUGUAAAGCAAUUGAAGUGGGAGGAAGGGCAGUAAAUUAAUACUUUG